UACGUAGGGUGCAAGCGUUGUCCGGAAUUAUUGGGCGUAAAGAGCGUGUAGGCGGCCCGAUUAGUCCGCUGUGAAAGUCCAGGGCUCAACCCUGGAAUGCCGGUGGAUACUGUCGGGCUAGAGUCCGGAAGGGGCGAGUGGAAUCCUGGUGUAGCGGUGAAAUGACGCAGAUAUCAGGAGGAACACCAAUGGCGAAGGCAGCUCGCUGGGACGUGACUGACGCUGAGACGCGAAAGCGUGGGGAGCAAACAGG
rnacentral:rRNA from 1 species